GAUACAACUCCUCAUCGUGGAUUGUCUUCCUUAUUCUAUACCACAGCACACCUCCUGAGCACCUGAGAGUUGAUUGAACACACCUGAUCUCCAUUAGAGCUUCUACGACCUGAAACUUAACUAUGUUCUACUGCUGAUACUAAAGAACGGAAAAAGGCAGAAACUAACAUUGAGUCUAAUCUUUCUUUUGGCCUUUGGAGCUCACAACCUUCAGAAAACUGGCGAGUGAUUGACGUGGCGGCGCUACGCUGAGAGACGGCGCCGUCUUCAAAAGCAGGCGGCCUACUUUGAACGUGACAGUGACUUUGUGUCUGUUUUUUAUUUUUUAUUUUUAUUUUUCACCCCCGCCCCUCACAAAAAAGAUCUGCUGGAGAUCAUUGUAGAACAAGUCAGACAUGGGUUCUUUUUGUUGUUUAAGCACGCCCAUGUGAACAUCAUAUUUUAUUUAGAACGUCUGAAAGUGUGCCAAAGAGGAAGCUGUGCAACAAAAAGAAAAGGAAAGAAAACGGGAUGCCGCUCAUAAAAGUUUCACCCACUGUUCAAAA